GGGAGAGAAUCAGUCCUGUAUCUUUAUUAAAGAGGAAUAGAAAGAAGCCAGACCUGGCAACCAAGGGAUGAGGCACUGGCCAGAUCACUCACUGGUCCCCAUCCUGUUCCUUGCUGUCCGUGUGCACCUCGACAAGAAGCUCAGUGACCUCUCCAUUACCAGCCAUUAUUGCCAGAAUUCCUAUCUUCAUCCCAGUGCUGGUGAAGUCAAAGAUAAAACCAAUCUACAGCUUCUACAAUAGCCAUCACUGAACUGCUUGCAGAACUUGCCUGGACACAUUGUGAGCUCACCUGUAUGCAUUGUGAACUAUCUGUUGGUACAGCGAAUUGUGGUAGUGCUGGAGUAUUUUUGCUGAUGAUGUCACCGGUGGUACAAUUUUUCAAAGGAGCCCUCAAUUGGCUUAAUGUCAUGGCAUUUUGCAUCCUCCUCUACUAGUGAUGGUCUAAAAUUUGGGGGCCAACAGAGGUGAGGCAAAGAACCUCACCACCCCACAGGUGCAAAGGCCUAUCCACAAGUAUGGCUGUAUGCUGGACCGGUAGUCAGUGACGGGUAUGAUCCAAUUGCAGUGGUACCAACCUAAGACAGGAGGCUGACGCCUAGAGGUCAGUUCAUCCGAUGACGGGUAAGGACCAUAUGUUGAAUUGGACUGCCUAACAGGCACGGUCCCUAAGCCACAUGCUUGUUGUUUAAACAGAGAGGGGGAGAUGUUGAGAGCCACAGCCGAAGGGGCCCCAGCAAACUUCCAGCUGCCAGCAAACUUCCAGCUGCCGGCUGACGAUUGGCUCACAGCAGCCCCAGCAACAUCUAGCUGAUUGGCUCCUCUGCGGUGAUGCUCAUUGGACUGUUUCCCUGCCCUUUCAGACCACAGAGCUGCUCAUUGGGGGACUUUUUUGGCUCCGCCCACGUGACCCAGCCAAUCGGCCUCAAGAGCAGGAGGAUUGUGGGAAGUGGAGAGAAG